UGAUUAUAUGAAAGGAGAGAAGGUCAGCACUCCCCUGCAUGAGGAUGGAAGAGGCCCUGGUGGCCUGUGCAACACACAUGUGGUUAAGACACUGCCACCUACUUUGUGGCAUCUAACCAAGAUUUAUU
rnacentral:ncRNA from 1 species